rnacentral:tRNA from 1 species
GGUGGAGACGGGACGGCGGCGGUCCCACCCGGCGGUAAACCGGGAGCCCGUUCGAGGGCAGUGAGGGUUCGACUCCCUCCUUCACCA